UACGGGGGGAGCAAGCGUUGUUCGGAUUUACUGGGCGUAAAGGGCGCGUAGGCGGCCACCGCAAGUCGACUGUGAAAUCUCCGGGCUUAACCCGGAAAGGUCAGCCGAUACUGCGGGGCUAGAGUGCAGAAGGGGCAACUGGGAUUCUCGGUGUAGCGGUGAAAUGCGUAGAUAUCGAGAGGAACACCUGCGGCGAAGGCGGGUUGCUGGGCUGACACUGACGCUGAGGCGCGAAAGCUAGGGGAGCGAACGGG
rnacentral:rRNA from 1 species